rnacentral:rRNA from 1 species
UACGAAGGGGGCUAGCGUUGUUCGGAAUUACUGGGCGUAAAGCGUAUGCAGGCGGCUCUUUAAGUCAGGGGUGAAAUCCUGAGGCUCAACCUCAGAACUGCCUUUGAUACUGGAGAUCUUGAGUCCGGGAGAGGUUAGUGGAACUGCGAGUGUAGAGGUGAAAUUCGUAGAUAUUCGCAAGAACACCAGUGGCGAAGGCGGCUAACUGGCCCGGUACUGACGCUGAGAUACGAAAGCGUGGGGAGCAAACAGG